UAUUUAUUUAAACUUUUAUGAUAAUUUGCAACUUUAUCUAAUUUUAUUUCUUGAUCUCUUUUUAGGAUCAAAAAGUUCAAGAAAUGGAAAGAGAAAAAGAAGAGAAACGUAAAAGGAAGGAAUUAAUGAGAGAAAUGGAUAAGCAUGAAAGAAGACAGUACAAGAAGUCUUUAGCUGAAACUCCGAAAACCAAGGAACAACUACUAAGGGAAAAAUUAAUUGCAAAAUUCAAAUCAAAUGAAGAAAAGCGUGUCGAAGCGCAGAAAACAAAACCUAAAGUUUCCAAAGCUGUGAUCAAAGCGGGUGCAGUUAGUGAUGAUUCAUUUGGCUCAGAUACAAGCAGUCUGCCAAGUGUCGAUGCCGAAACACUUAAUCCACCAGCCAAUACAUCAUCCGUUAACAAUUGGAGAGGACGAGGCAGGGAUGGUCCUAACGGCCGAGAUGGUCCAAAUGGUCGUGAUGGUAAUAAUGAUAAUCGAGGACGAAUUUGGGUUCGAGGUCGAGGAAGAGGCCGCAACGCUUAUGAUGGGCGAGGAAAUGACCGCAUGUAUGAGCGUGACAAUUACCCACAAAGAAAUCAGUACUAUAAUCGACGUGGCGGCGGUGGUGGUGGAUAUGGAUGGCAACGAAUGCGAGGUGGUUUUAUGCCACCAUUCAUGGAUCCUUACAUGUUGGGUACUAUGAGUGAGUACUACAAGUAUUUCAACAAAUUAGUCAAAGGUAGCAGACGAUCAUAUUCUAGAUCCAGGUCUAGGUCUAGGUCAAGGUCGAGGUCUCGGAAAAGAAGCAGAGGUCGCUCUUACUCUAGAAGUCGCUCUAGAUCUUACUCCAGGUCCAGAAGUAGGACUCGAUCCAGAUCAAGAAGUUCGCGACGUUCAAGGUCUAGAUCCUAUUCCAGGCACUCAAGGUCACGAUCCAGAAGCCGUUCAAAGCGCUCAAGGUCUCAUAGUAGGUCUAGAAGUAGAAAUAGAUCCAGGUCUAAAAGCCGCUCUAGGUCUAGAAGUAAAUCGCGCAGUCAUCGUCAUAGGCAUAGAUCUAGAUCACGUAGUCGCCGUGCAGAUUCUCAUAAAUCUAAGUCUAAGUCAAAGUCAAGAGAUGAAUCUAAAGGGAAGUCACACUCUCCAGAUAGGCGCAAGGAAGAUUCAACGACAAAAAAUCCCUCUCCUGAAACUGAGAGCAAAAAGACUGAAAAUCUUACAGCAGACAAAAAUGGAGAUUCCUCCUCUAAGAAGGGGCACUCUCCCAUUACGUUCAACGAUGAAAGCAAUUCAAAAAAGGAUGAGAAAAGUAAAGCAAAAGACCCAAAAAGUGAUGAAAAAAAUUCUAGUAAUGAACAAGAAAAUAAAUCUUCAAGCUCCAAGAGUAAGAAGAAAAAACAUCAUCAUCACAAAAAGGCAAAGAAAAAGAAGAAGAAAGGAAGCGACGAGGAAAAAGAAACUACGGAAAAAGGAGAAUAAAUUAAUAUUAUUAAGUGGGUACCCCUAAUUCUCAGAAAACCACCGAUUCAAACUGUUUUCCGGUAUGUAUGAAGUGUAUUCGCUUUAAUUUGCAACCAGGAUAAGUCUCUCCAUUUUUUCCUCCAUUGCCCUGAAAAAUAUGUUCCUCUCUUACAAUAACUCAACUUCGAUAAAUAUUUACAGUACAUGGAAUAUGCACUGAAGUCUGCUGAUAAUCCUACGAGAAAGUGUGUCACUUUAGUAAACAUACUGCUCUCAAUUUUUGUAUUUUGUAGUAGAAGCUUCUCUUAUUUUUAUUUUUUAAGUCAAGAAAUCAUCAAAAUAGCUGUUGAAACUCCCCUCCCUUCCCAAUAUUUGAAGAUUUGUCAAAGAGGAAGGAUAAUUUCCAAAUUUUUUUUUUUUUAUUUUCUCUCAUUGGGAAGUAUCCUGACAGUAUCCUCCAAAGAUUAUUUACUGAGAACGUUUCUCUGACAGAAACUUGAGAUUUUUGUGAGUCACGUCUGAUUCUGCGUUGAGUAACUUUUAAGCCACAUUGGUUUUAGGUAAGGAUUUUUUCACAAGAUAUCUUACAGUCAUGACUGAAGUCCUCAAAAUGAGAAAAUUCUGAAUUUUUAUAGCUCUUCCCGAAAAUUUAUUGUUUGUUCUAUUCUGGCAACUGAAAUUUUUGCUCUUUUCAUUUUCUGUACAAAAAUUGUAACUUGAAGAAUCUAAAAACUAGCUUUAAAAAUGAUAACUCUGACUUUUUGAAAAAAUUAGAAUUACAAAGAGCAUUCAAAGGCUGUAUGCUACAACAAAGCUUCUAAAGAAAGUUAUGUAAUUAAGUGAGGUAGUUGCAAUCAGAAUUUGAAUCGAGCAAGACUCAAUUAUUAUUUCAUUUUUUGGCGUCAUGAGUAUUACCUUACAAAAAUAAUUCCAUGGAAGUCACCAUUGAGGGAGUAGACAUUUUUUGAAUAAAUUAAACCAGAGAGAAAUUGCGUUCCUUUGCUCUGUUUUAUUCUGGAAAAUCAUAUUGCUGUUGUAAAGUAUGAAAUUACUUUAACUUUUUCAAGUUUCUUUGUAGAUUUUUUUUUCUUUUUAUAUGAAAAAUCUAGCAAAUGCUGCUACAAUUGAAUAUUUUCAGUCUCUCAUGUACUUUUUUACUUUAAAAUACAUUAUGCAGGCAAGAAAAAUGUAUAGUGCAAAAAUUGCAGUUUUUAAGAGAAAAAUCAACAUUUCAGUUUGUGAAAAACCUGCAAAAAUGUUUCCUAGUCCUCUUAUUUAAACCUUUCAAACGACUUUGGUAUUUACUUUUUCCAAUUCUAAUAAUUACUGGAAAUCGCAUCAUCUUGUGUAAAUUGCUAAUCAGUGAUUAGAAGUCUAGAUUACCCAAAUCUGUAAUCUCCCUAUUUCAGUGUCAUAAUGUCACGCGUAAAACUUGCUAAAAUGAUUACCUAUGUUCUCAUUCAAUUUUCUUUUUUUUAUAGCUAUUUAAGUGGGUAAUUUAUUUUUCCUUAUGAUACCCAAUUUUCUGUAACAACUGCUAUUCUUUAUUCAAGCAUCUGGUACUCUGGGGCAAUUUCGCUCUCUCACUCUCUUGUGAAUUCUUUUUACCUACCUUGUUAAUUGUGUAAAACUUUUCAAAACUCACAAGUCUUUCAUGUAUAAUAAAGUUUGAAUCCUGGUUCUUUCCUUAGAACUUUAAGUGAAAACUUCCAUUUCUUAACUAUCGAUUUUUCAUUUUCAGUCAGGUUUUUUAUCCAUCUUUGUAGCUAACAAGGUGGAGAAAUGGUGCUGGGUCCACACCAUUUUGCAAGGAAAUUAAAGCCAAGAAAUUCCAAAUGUUUUAAUUAGAGUCAAAAAUACUAUAUAUUGAAAAAUAUAAAAUAAAUAUAGGUCAAAAAUAAUAUAUUUUUGACUCCAAUAAUAAUUUUUGGAAUUUCUUGGCUUUGAUUUCCCCACGAAAUGGUGUGGACCCAGCAUCAUUUCUCCACUUUGUUACGUACAGUAUUCAGGCCACCUUUUAGUGUUUUUUUCUCAUUUGUAGCUAACUUAAUAUAAUUUUCUCCCUCCAUCUUGUUUAAAGAGAAGAAUUCAGAUUUGUGGUUUGCUUUUACUUAAUACUCGACUUACUUCAAAUUAAUCUGUAUUUAGUCAUUAUACAUUGAUGUAACUUCAUGUUGUUGGGGAUGAGACAUCCUCAUUACAGCUGUCUAGUGCAUCUGUUGUCGUUAAAUCAUUUUAGUUCAUCCUGACUGGGAAGAAACUUUUAAAUGUUUUCAUAUAUACUGCCUAGUUGAAGUUCCAAGCUUCAUCGUGAAAAUUUGUUCUUUUUAUUCGGAAGUCAACCCAUUCUACCUUUUUCCUUUCAUCACACAUUUAGCUGUAGAAUUUUGUUGAAUUAUUUGCAGUUAAUGUUUUUUUUUUUUUUUUUUUACAAAAUGUUGAAAAUGUAAAAUUUUGCAAAAAUACAACAAUUAUAUUUCUAAAAUUUGGUCUCUUUUGUCUGUAAUCAUAUCUUCUUUCAAACAUUUAACUUAUGAUUAAAAAAAUAGGAAAAAGAAAUCAUAGAUGAAGAGGUUAUUGAUUAAGUAUUUGACUCAGAAGAGCCCCAGUC
rnacentral:lncRNA from 1 species